GGACAUGAGGGUAGUCUGGCUACAAGACCUACCCACCCACUGAUCACCAAGGUUGGUAUGGCUAAUCUUGCUGGCAAGGUGCAUGUCCCCUGCUUCCCUCACUGGUCUGGGGUAUCCCUCCUAAAACUGCACACCCCCACAGAUGGGAAUCUUUCUCCAGUCCAAAAUGCGUGAGUAGUACUUUCCCCUGCUAGGACCUCCAGAAGAGCUCUCAGGCUCCUUGUGAAGGAGAACAUGAGUUAGCCAAACUUCCAAAACUGCAGACAGCCUGCCUUUUAAAAAAGAGAAAGAUGUCAAUCGUU
rnacentral:snRNA from 1 species